CCUGGCGGCGAUGCGCCGGGGGGGCACACCCGUACCCAUCCCGCACACGGCAGUGAAGGCCCCGGCGGCCGACGGUACUGGGCCGGAGACGGCACGGGAGAGCAGGAGGCCGCCAGGA
rnacentral:rRNA from 1 species